CCUGGGUACAUUUCUUCCGUAGUGAUGGCUUCAGUAGGGGUCACCAAGAUGGGCCCUUGAUAAGGGAGAGAGUUUGCAAAGGGAAGAACUCAUGAAGAUUUGGAGCUUAAAGAAGCUGAAAAAAAAAAAUAAAAGGUGAAGACUGCUUGUGUAGUCCUUAGGAACCCUGAAGUGUAACACUUUUACAGCACAAAGGCUCAUCUUUCUACUACAGUGAACCAGCCCGCUAAGGUCACCUGCUCAAGUUGGCUGUCACUGAUGCAGCUGAGCUUCUCCGCUGCUGCUUCCUCAUAACCCCAACCUGAAUUCACCAGGUGUUUUGGAGCAGAUAAAGCUGUCUACACAUGGCAAGAGACUCCACCAUUGCUCUACUCUCAGCACUGCCUGAUAACAGGAGAUUUGUGAAGACAUUUCUGUGCAACAAAGAAGGGAGUGGACAGAAGCAAACUUUUCAGUG